rfam:Asian citrus Psyllid, Diaphorina citri - Florida Strain, whole genome shotgun sequence.
GCCCGGAUAGCUCAGUCGGUAGAGCAUUAGGCUUUUAACCUAAGGGUACUGGGUU